rnacentral:rRNA from 1 species
AGAGUUUGAUCCUGGCUCAGGAUGAACGCUGGCGGCGUACCUAACGCAUGCAAGUCGAACGGGGAUUUUUAGCAAUAAAGAUUCUAGUGGCAAACGGGUGAGUAACACGUAGGGAUCUACCUUGGAGAGGGGAAUAACGGACCGAAAGGUUCGCUAAUACCGCAUGUGGUCGUGAGACCAAAGGAACCAGCAAUGGUUUCGCUCUGAGAGGAGCCUGCGUUCGAUCAGGUAGUUGGUGAGGUAACGGCUCACCAAGCCGAUGACCGAUAGCUGUUCUGAGAGGAAGAUCAGCCACACUGGGACUGUGACACGGCCCAGACUCCUACGGGAGGCAGCAGCGAGGAAUAUUGCACAAUGGGCGCAAGCCUGAUGCAGUAACGCCGCGUGGGGGAAGAAGACCUUCGGGUUGUAAACCUCUUUUGAUAAGGACGAGUGAGGACGGUAUUUAUAGAAUAAGUCUCGGCUAACUACGUGCCAGCCGCCGCGGUAAUAC